rnacentral:rRNA from 1 species
UACAGAGGUGGCAAGCGUUGCUCGGUAUCACUGGGCUUAAAGGGCGCGUAGGCGGCAUGACAAGUCACUUGUGAAAUCUCUGGGCUUAACUCAGAACGGCCAAGUGAUACUGUCGCGCUAGAGUGCAGAAAGGGCAAUCGGAAUUCUUGGUGUAGCGGUGAAAUGCGUAGAUAUCAAGAGGAACACCUGAGGCGAAGGCGGGUUGCUAGGCUGACACUGACGCUGAGGCGCGAAAGCCAGGGGAGCAAACGGG